rnacentral:rRNA from 1 species
GCGACGCCGCGUGAGGGAUGACGGCCUUCGGGUUGUAAACCUCUUUCAGCAGGGACGAAGCGUGAGUGACGGUACCUGCAGAAGAAGCACCGGCCAACUACGUGCCAGCAGCCGCGGUAAUACGUAGGGUGCAAGCGUUGUCCGGAAUUACUGGGCGUAAAGAGCUCGUAGGCGGUUUGUCGCGUCGUCUGUGAAAACCAGCAGCUCAACUGUUGGCUUGCAGGCGAUACGGGCAGACUUGAGUAUUUCAGGGGAGACUGGAAUUCCUGGUGUAGCGGUGAAAUGCGCAGAUAUCAGGAGGAACACCGGUGGCGAAGGCGGGUCUCUGGGAAAUAACUGACGCUGAGGAGCGAAAGCGUGGGUAGCGAACAGGAUUAGAUACCCUGGUAGUCCACGCCGUAAACGGUGGGCGCUAGGUGUGGGUUUCCUUCCACGGGAUCCGUGCCGUAGCUAACGCAUUAAGCGC